GCCAUUGUUGUGUAGUGGUUUGAGCACUAGACUACAACUCUGAAGACUAGGGUUCAAAUCCCCACUCAGGAG